GACGAACGCUGGCGGCGUGCUUAACACAUGCCAGUCGAACGGAAAGGCCCUGCUUUUGUGGGGUGCUCGAGUGGCGAACGGGUGAGUAACACGUGAGUAACCUGCCCUUGACUUUGGGAUAACUUCAGGAAACUGGGGCUAAUACCGGAUAGGAGCUCCUGCUUCAUGGUGGGGGUUGGAAAGUUUCGGCGGUUGGGGAUGGACUCGCGGCUUAUCAGCUUGUUGGUGGGGUAGUGGCUUACCAAGGCUUUGACGGGUAGCCGGCCUGAGAGGGUGACCGGCCACAUUGGGACUGAGAUACGGCCCAGACUCCUACGGGAGGCAGCAGUGGGGAAUAUUGCACAAUGGGCGGAAGCCUGAUGCAGCAACGCCGCGUGCGGGAUGACGGCCUUCGGGUUGUAAACCGCUUUCGCCUGUGACGAAGCGUGAGUGACGGUAAUGGGUAAAGAAGCACCGGCUAACUACGUG
rnacentral:rRNA from 1 species